UUAUUAUUAUUAUUAUUAUCAUCAUCAAUGCCGUGAGAUGUUUUUAUGACAAUUUGUAAAAUAUGAAAAUGAAUUAAGUGACUGAUUUUGCUGCCAUUUGUUUGAUCCAGUCAAGUCAGUCCAUUAUUGUUUAUUUGUCUGAUGUUGAAAUUAUUUAUGAUAACACAAGCUACAAUGUACAUUGCUACAUUAAGUGAGUGCAGUGUGUGGGUGUCAGUCUAGACUGUAGAGGCUGUUUACUGGAGGAGAUGUCAUCAAUCUAUCAACCAGUGAAGAGGUACCUUCACUCUACAGUACAGGUAGGAGACUACCUGUACAUGUGGGGUGGGGACCAGU